AUGGUCCAGGCUCUGUUCACUGUCCUGAUGCUCACGCUUGCUGCUCGACCCUCGUCUCCCCCGACGCUGACCCUGUUACCCCCGUCCCAGACGGAGCUGGCUGAGGGCAGGGCCACCCUGGUGUGUCUGGCGCAGGGCUUUUACCCUGACUCCGUCACCGUGUCCUGGACGAGCGACGGCCGCGCUGCGACAGGCAGCGAGGUGCAGACCAGCGAGAGCCAGCGCCAGUCUGACGGCACCUACUCCGUCAGCAGCCUCUUCUCUCUGCCGGCCGCGCAGUGGAGCUCCGGCCGCUCCGUGUCCUGCCAGCUGCGCCACUCUGCGCUGAGCGCCCCGCUGAGCCGCAGCGUCAGCCAGGCGGAGUGCAGCGCUUAA